AAAUGACAGGGAACAGGGGACGUGCUGGGUAGAGGAAGGCCAUGGUCCCUGGCUAGGGCUCCACCCUCAUGGACCUAGGUGAGGACAGGCAUUUUUGUUUCAUUUCCCAAGACCGCCCUGGCCUGCCACGCCCCCAUCCUGGGCCUAUAAAACUGCCUGAGACCCUAGCAGGCAGACACACAAGCUGCUGGACGUCGAGAGGAGCAGAUAGGCAGAGGAACACACGGGUGGCUGGAUGUCGAGAGGAAUACAGUAACAGGCACCUGCAUGCCGGCAGGCCACCGAUUUGCAGAACAACAACGUGGAGUUUGGCUGCGGCAGUGAGAGGACAGCCCAGGCUGCUCAGCUGCCGGGAUCCAGGAGAAACCUUCCCACUCCAUCCCCUUUUGGCUUCCGCCAUGUGAUAUCUCCACUCAAUACAACCUUGUGCUCAUUCUCCAAGCCCAUGAUGUGAUCUGCUUCUGGUACACCAAGGCAAGAACCCUGGGAUGCACAAAGCCCUCUGUCCUUGUGAUAAGGCAGGGGUCUAAUUGAGCUAACACGAGCUGUGUAUACCUAGCUAAACUAAAAGAGUACCCUGUAACACAUUCCCCCUGGGGCUUCCGGAGCUGUUAACAUUCACCCCUAGACACUGCCCUGGGGUUGGAGCCCCACAGCCUGCCCGCCUGUAUGCUGCCCUAGAGGUCUGAGCCUCGGGGCACUGAAAAAGCGAGCCACUCCGCUGCCCCAUAGCAAGACCCGCCAUGGGGAUAAAGGAAUUUUUCCUGUUUCAACUGGGGACUUCGCCUGAGAUCCUGGAAGAUCCCCUGCUUCCUGUGGGAUUGCAGGCUGCACACAUUCCUGCUCAAAGCUCAAGAGCAUAGCGCCGGGACGUCGGGAAACCUUCCACCCUUCGCAACCUGCCGUGUCAACUCCCAGCAAGCUCAAGCUGCAGUUUACACUGGUUAAGGAUUGCUUAAACAAAGGCUUGAACAGAAUGAUGUUGACUGUUUCACAAUGAAAAAUAAUAGUUUUAGCUUAAUCCACAUGCCAGUUCUGGAUCAUUUGCAACACUUCUUACAAUUAUUGAUGUCCUUCCCAACGUCCAUUUCAUGCUCAACUGGGCUUCUAGGUGAUUUUAAAGUUUUGUGUUAUUUUGCUUUGUUUGGUUUUGUUCCCUUGAAAAGAAGACGGUUUGAUUUCUGGGACAAACAUAUUGCUAUGCAAAUACACCCAGAAUAAAUGAAAGAGCCACUCAGACAACCCAUUUUUGCCUCUUCCCUUAGACUUUCAAUUUGACUCCUCUCCAAUGAAAAAGGAUUUAAAGACUGCUUGUGGGGGUCACAGGAGUUCCAGGGGGGCUGUUAGGAAGCCAGCUCUGCAAGGUUGAUGCAGGGAACAAGUUGGCACAUGCUGUUUUAUGUCACGGAAGAGUGACAACCACCAAGAAGCCUUUCUAUCGAGCCAGUUAUCGACCCGUAAGGAGUGAUGAGCACAGGACACGCCUUACCUGAAGCCAGCAUCUCAACACCCAUGUGCAGAAGUCCAGUUAUCUUCAUCCAGGAGACGAGAAGACGAGUUGAGGCUACAAGGCAUGUUUCAGCGGGCUCAUCUAUGCAGCACAGCUUGAGCGUAGUGCAGAUCUUCAGAGCACACAGCUCAAAGGAAGAAGGUACGGGCUGCUCCUGUGUGUACCGAAGAUGGGAGAAGGGUAGGAACAGAGCAUCAGGAGAGCUGCCAUUCCCCUAACUCUGUCCUGGGGUGAUGACAGUGGCUGGCCUAGUGUCUGAGUCUGUGCCAUUCUCCUUUUGCUACUGUGUUCCUCCUCUGACACUCCAGCACAAAGAGUAAUUCCCUGCUUUUAAGCCAUGGCUUCCCAUGAGGUUGGAUCCAGAGGUGCCCCCUAUGGGGACACCAGGUUCUGGGCAUCGGGAGUGGGUUCCCAAAGCUCUGCAGACUGGGUGCUUUCAAACCACAGCCAGGCCCUGCUGGUGAUAUGAACACAGACACAAGGCCAUCACCUCUAAGAAUCAUUUUAUACCUGUAAAAUGACCUUGUGGCUUUGCCUGGCAGUGGCUCAUGAGGGAGGGGCCUCUAUAGAGGGGCUCUGAGGACCAACUUGUGAGUAUCAAUUAUUUGUGUUCUUCUCAUACUUCUUACUCUGCCUUCAGGUACAAGUAGAGAUUAGCCAAUGCUUUAGAACCUACAGAGUUUCUAAUUUGUUCCCAAAUGCUGAAAACAUAAUCUGAGCUUUGGGAUCUUCAGGACAAAAAAUAAGACUUUUUUAAUGUGAUGUUUUUUCUUUCCUCCUACUCAAAAAGUUAUGAAUCAUAGGAAUGAGUUAAUGUUUCAAAGAUGUUUAUUGCUUUUUUUGUGGGGGGAGGUGCAUGAUGAAAUAUGCUGACCCAUAGUGCUUCCAGAGGAGGAAGUACAGAAACAGGUUCCUGUAGAGGAUGUCAGCCUUGAGCAUUUGAUUUUCACCAGCAGAAUAUAGUGAGGUGUAAAGGAUCCAAUUUAUCUCUGUCACUUCCCUCUAGACUUUUGUUUGUCCUUGGUGACCCAUGGGUUAAUUAAAACACUGUACCAACAUUUUUGGUGUUUAUAUAUGCAUAGAUUAUAAACCAAGCUCUUGCAUGUAUCAUCAAAAUACAUACACAUGUAUGCUUUCUACGUAUUAAAUUUUCUAUUUUUGUGAAGUAUGUAUAUAAAAUUCAAGAAAGAUAGAUAAAAUUAAGGUUCCUAAUGUGUUAUAAAAACUGGAACUUCAUAGCCCACUUUGGAAAAUUGGCCUGACUCUUCCAUGUGAUUAUUAUGGCAUGAAUCAGUAUUUUCCUUGACAUUUAUUCACUUAAGGUUACCAAACCUAUCUUUUGAAACUGUGGGGACACUACUUUGAUUUUACUUUUCCAUUACUUAUUACAAUUUUUGCAUUCCUAAGUAUGCAUAUUUUUGCUAUACUUUUAUUCUACUUUAAGGAAUGUAUAAGUCAAGACCCAGGAUGGUGACUUGAUAAAAAAAAGUUUGCAUUAACUAUAUAGAGAUUUAUUUACAAAGCUUGUUCAAUUUGGUGUGUGCAGUUUGAAGAAAGUGCAAUGCAUGUGUUGCCCCACUCUGAGGAAAAUGUUAACUAUACAUUUUGUAGGUUUUGACCAGCAAUUAAAAAAAAUUUCUCCCCAAAUCUUGCAAAUCAGGAUUACUUUUUUAUUAUUUAGAUACAAUGAGAAGUGAUAUCUCCUGGACUCUCAUGAUUGUCCUCUACCCCAUUUUGCUCUGUGAUAGUGGACAUGCAAUUUGGUGAAAGGACUCCACAUUUUGCUAGAGCAGGGACACAGGCUGCAUGCAGAUGCCACCACUCCAGCACUCCUUCCUGUACUGAAUUAUGCCAUGGCAUGCCACACACACAAAGUGAGGAUGCUGUUUCUGACUUGCUGUUUCUCUGCUUCCCGAUGACUGCACCUCCCAGGCAUUCAUUCUCACUGCCUUCCCACAGGACUCCCUCUUCCACUCUUCCAUGAUAGCCACAUUCAUGCCUGUAUACGGAGACACUGUUUGUUGCUCAUUACUGGGAGACAUUUCAGCACCCUGCCUUUUCCGCUACGACAAAGUCUACACCUGCUGGAGUAGAGGACAGAGCUGUCCGAGGGCUGCAUCUUGCUGUUUCUCCUGUCUCAUCUGCUACUACUUUUUGCCUUACUUAAAAAAAAAAGUACCUAAUGAAACUUAGAUAAAAAUAUGGAAAACUAUAUGAAGUAUCUAUGUAUUCACCAUGAAGACAGAAGAGAUAUUAAGAUUUUCAUACACUUGCUGUAAAUAUACCUAAUUUACUGAAACGGCCACCUGCCAUUUCUUCCUUUCUCACUUUUCCCAAAGACAUUAAUGUUCUUAAAGAUUGUAAGCACAUAUAUGUAUACUUUUAAUACAUAGGUGUCUAUGCAUGUCUAAAAUAGACCAUACAAAAUUAUAUAAUACAAUGUUUGAUUAUUUUUAUUUAUUUUUAUUUUACUUUAAGUACCGGGAUACAUGUGCAGAACGUGCAGGUUUGUUACAUAGGUAUACAUGUGCCAUGGUGGUUUGCUGCACCUAUCAACCUGUCAUCUAGGUUUUAAGUCCAGCAUGCAUUAGGUGUUUGUCCUAAUGCCCUCCCUUCCCUUGCCCCCGACCCCCGACAGGCCCCAGAGUGUGAUGUUUCCCUCCAUGUGUCUGUGCAGGGACAUGGAUGAAGCUGGAAGCCAUCAUUCUCAGGAAACUAACAUAGGAACAGAACACCAAACACCACAUGUUCUCACUCACAAAUGAGAGUUGAAAAAUGAGAACACAUGAUUAUUUUAUUUUAUUUUUAAUUUUUAAUUAUACUUUAAGUUCUAGGGUACAUGUGCACAACGUGCAGGCUUGUUACAUAUGUAUACACAUGCCAUGUUGGUGUGCUGCACCCGUUAACUUGUCAUUUACAUUAGGUAUAUUUCCUAAUGCUAUCCCUCCCCCUCCCCCCACCCCACAAUAGGCCCCGGUGUGUGAUGUUCCCCACUCUGUGUCCAAGAACACAUGAUUAUUUUAGAAAUAUUUUUUCUUACUUGGACUUCAGAUGAAAAGAAUUAGGUAAAUAAUAUUUCACAAUUUAUAGUGUACUAUUGGUAUCAGUUUACACAAAGUCUCUCUCUAAUCUCAUUUUAAUAUUUUCCCUCUUCCCCAUCCCUACAUGAGCCUCCACUUAUAUGCAUGUAAUAUGAAAUAGAGUUUUAAAUAGGCUAGUUAGGGAAAUGUUUUUGGAAAAGAAAUAUUCAAGUAAAGACUUAAGGUGAGUAUAUAUGGUACCCUUGAAAUAACUUCAUCUUAGAAAAGAGUCCAUUUUAUAUCUCACAGUGCUUUGCCAACAAGAAUAUGAUGUUUUGCUUAAUAAACAAAUUUAAAAAAAGACUGCAUCCAACCAGAUAAGGACACCAACAAGCAGACUUUUCCACUAUCAGUACUCACCAGAGGACUCUGUGACUGUAAAAGAGCAGGCCUCCAGCAGCUCGAAAUGGCCCCCUUAACUGAUACCAUCUUGCAGUCACUCAUGAUAAGAACUUGGCGUCUGCCACAGAAGGCUCUGCCCCAUUAACAAUUCUUCCUUGCAAGACCUGAGACCAUCCGCCCGGCCUAGACCAGAACUCCUUUUGUCUUCUUCACUCCCUCUGGACUGAUUCAUUAACCCUUUCUCCUAUCUCUUUUUCCUCUUGAUGUUAAAUGUUACUUUGUCGUUGAAUGUUUAACCUAUAACAUUUGUAUAUUAAGUAUAUUAUUAUGUAUGGUUUGCAUUAUUGACUGACUUGUGGAGUGGCUUGAGCCUGUGAGCCCAAGGCUGUGUCUACUAAGUAAAUGGGAAGGAUUAAAGAGAAUUGCCUCCUUGGGAACUCCAUUGUAGCUCAUGGCUUUUGUGAUUGAAAUAGCAUCAAUAAAAGCCUGGCAUUGCAAAAAGACACA
rnacentral:lncRNA from 10 species